AAGUCGUAACAAGGUUUCCGUAGGUGAACCUGCGGAAGGAUCAUUACCAAUCUUAGCGGGCCUGGUCUUGUUGACUAUGGUUUCGCGAAAAUCGUAUUUAAAACCCCACUCUUAUAUAAAAUGAAUCAUUAUAUUUGUAAAAAUAAAUAAAGAUCACUUUCAACAACGGAUCUCUUGGCUCUC
rnacentral:misc_RNA from 1 species